rnacentral:tRNA from 1 species
GCCGGUAUGGCGGAAUGGUGGGCGCGGCGGACUCAAAAUCCGCAGGCAGCGAUGUCGUGCAGGUUCGAGUCCUAUUAGUGGUA